rnacentral:rRNA from 1 species
CCUACGGGAGGCAGCAGUGGGGAAUUUUGGACAAUGGACGAAAGUCUGAUCCAGCAAUGCCGCGUGCAGGACGAAGGCCUUCGGGUUGUAAACUGCUUUUGUACGGAACGAAACGGUCUGCUUUAAUACAGCGGGCUAAUGACGGUACCGUAAGAAUAAGCACCGGCUAACUACGUGCCAGCAGCCGCGGUAAUACGUAGGGUGCGAGCGUUAAUCGGAAUUACUGGGCGUAAAGCGUGCGCAGGCGGUUAUAUAAGUCAGAUGUGAAAUCCCCGGGCUCAACCUGGGACCUGCAUUUGAGACUGUAUAGCUAGAGUACGGUAGAGGGGGAUGGAAUUCCGCGUGUAGCAGUGAAAUGCGUAGAUAUGCGGAGGAACACCGAUGGCGAAGGCAAUCCCCUGGACCUGUACUGACGCUCAUGCACGAAAGCGUGGGGAGCAAACAGGAUUAGAUACCCCGGUAGUC